CCUUUGACCUUCUCUGCGAAUGAAAACAAGUCUCAAAGACCUCUAUUAAUCAAUUAUAGAAUACGGUCAAUGCCCUUAAGUGAACUAUAUGCCCACAAUCAAGACAAAUUUUCGGUUAAGACCCUUUUGUGUAAGAUAGAACACGGCCAAAAGCCCUCUGUAAAUUAGAAAAGGUAUAUAAUCACGAGUGCUUUUCCGAUUGAUCUCAAUAUCACAUCUCACAUUCCAAUUUACAAUUAAUCCAUACACAAUCUUGAAUUCCAUAUUUAUCAGAGUGAAAGAAAAUUUCCAUGUUAAUCAUGUAAUUGGACAAAUAAUUAACGUAAUCGCACGUAAUAUAAUAAUAUAAGUACUUUAUCAAUAUUAGAAAAUAUACAAGUUUUUCCACUGACCAAGUUAAAGAACGAUGACAACUUCAAUCUUCUCGCCACCUUUCAUUCAAAUACUAAUUAUGAUAUCUUGCACUCGCGCCCCAUAAGAUCACAUCUCUUCACAGAGGUACCUCGAGCUUUUUUCCUACCAUUGAAAUAAGGAUAUGCUAAUAGGAACUUAAUGUCUUUAUUUUCAAUAUCAUAAUCCCAAUUAGGAUCAUUAUUACCAUAUACUCUUUUAUAUAAGUUAUUUUAACGCAUAAUCCCCAAUAUUUAUCACUUAAUUUUGUUUUCAUUAUAAAAUAUCCAAGAAAAUUAGAAUAUUAACAAAAAUAGCACUAUACUUCUGGAUUACUGAAAAUAUGGCAUCUAUUUCUGUAUAUUGAACACUGUCGCUCAGCGACGGAUCCAACACUCGACGAGCCCCUGCAACCGCCCGUGCUGGAUCGCCGGAGCUCAAUUUUUUUUGUUGUCCAAGUAUUUAUUUGUUU
rnacentral:lncRNA from 1 species